CUCUCCCUCCAAGUCUGGCACUGAAGGAGAACUGUUUUGCUUUGCUCCGGGAAGAGUGCAGACACGACGUGAAAUCCGGAGCUCUUUGCGUGGUGCAUUUAAAAUGCUUCCUUAUUUAUAUUAUCCUCAUCCCCUCCCCUCUCCCACCCCCUCACCAGCCCUUCCAAAUUUCCCUAGAAAUCUGUGUAAAGCGUGGAGGGGAAAACAUUUGCAUAAAAAGUGAAGGAGCACGCCAAGGAGUGUCAGCUGCCUCUUCACUCGACGCUCGCUGGAGAGAGUGACCUCAAGCAAAGAUCCACUCAAUGAAAAGAAUGAAGUUCCAUCUUUCUUCCUCCAGUGCUCUGGAUAGCCCUGGUGUUUCUCCUCUCCUCAGAAAUAGGGGAGAUGAGCAGAGGCAGCUAUAUAGUUUGGGGGGCCCAAUACAAAAUGAAAAUGUAAAACCCCUUGUUUGCAAGUCAUGAAGAAAGUACCAUUAAAGAUGCUGAAAUGAAAGGUUCUCUCUUCUACAGUCUCUCUCUAGACUCUCUCUAGACUCCCUGUGGAGCUGACUGCUUGCCACUCAAUGUCGUGCUAAAUAAACAUUAUUUUAUUUU
ensembl:lincRNA